ACUGUCUAUCGGCAAAAUAUAUGCAUUUCUCGGCCACGCUCCGGAGCAGUAUCCGCUGCAUUCGGGCGAUUCAAAACCCUUGCGUCAGUAGCCUACAAGGAUCCAAUGUGCUUCUUCAGUUAUAAACAUAAAAGACUACUGUUUUGUAACAACAAUAAUUGGCAACCUAUCUAUGCCUGGAGGGAACAUAUUGUCUUUUUGAUGUUAUUUUUACCUGUCAAGCACCAACCGAUGUCGAUCGACCAGACGUAAACACAGCCUUUGGAAGAUGAUAAAGAAAACCAAAACCACUAGCCAACAAUGCCAUAAAAAUGCGGAGAAAACGCCAAGAGAAAGAACCGGUGGAGCCAUGGCGCAUGAGCCACACCGGCGAGGUCAAACGCUCAGCCAGCGCCCUCUGACGUCCGUGAUGCCUGAUGGACAACCGGACGCGCGGAAACAUUCACUACCUAGCUGCUGUGUUCAUUGGGAUAAUAUGGCGUUUCUUGCAAAGUAGUCUACUCUACAUAACCUACAGCGAAAAACGCAUAUCCUACCCAAGUAGAGGAUAUGGCAGGUGACGAUCCUCCAAAAUAAAUACACUGCAUAAAAGUCCCUUCAUCCUUAUUAUUUUCUUUCAACACCUUAUCGUCUUCUCUUUUGCCUAUCCCACUAUCAACUAACAUCUUGGGUAGGCCUAUUCAUUUAUUAAUCUGUUCGAUGUCAUAACAAUAGCCUACUUAUUCUUAGAA